UCCAGAGAUGCCAGGGGGCUACAGAUCAGCUGUACAUACCACUCAGUCAAUGAUGCCACAACAUUUAGCACCAAGAAUGCAAGAAUGGAGUCAUGAACAUAAUUCAAAUGUGGAUCAACACCAACAUGAAUCAGCCUGGACAGCCAGUGGCAAUGGAAGCUG